rnacentral:lncRNA from 1 species
GAAGCUCCUAAUUCUGUAUCACUUUUGAUCGUUCUAAUAAUCCUCUUUGCACCAGAAAACCCAACAAUCUGGAAGGAGUUCAACAGGAAAGAAAGUACACGUCAGCUUGAGUUGCUGCGAGUUGGCAUAAAGAAUGGUGGGAUGGUGAUAUCCGAUAGGGUGGAUGGAGGAGCCAGUGGUGUUAAAACUGAAUGUGAGAGUGAAGCUGAAAGUGAUAAUGAAGAUGAAAAGGCUAAGGCUAUGGUUAGAGCUAUGCUUCGAACAAACAAAGGUGUCAAAACUGAAGAUGACAGUGAAACUGAAAGUGACAAUGAUGAUGAAAAGCCUAAGGCUAUGGCUAUGGCUAAGGCUAUAGUUAUACUUCGACCAAACAGAGGUAUCUAA